CACCCAUCAACACUGGAGGAACACCCAAUCAUGUCACACACCAGGCUGAUGGCCUGCCUCUUGUCCGGGAACAGCUGCGAGAACGCGGUGUAUCUUCGGCGGGCACGGACAUCAUCAUGGCUUCGUGGCGGCCCGCAACCGCGAAGCAGUAUCGACCACACAUUCAUAGGUGGCUACAGUUUUGCGAUUUGCGGAGACCUGGGAUAUCCAGCCAGUGCUCCAGCACCUGCGGAACAUGGAUCCACUGCCCACUCUCUCACUUAAAGACUUAACCCUUAAGCUUGUAAUGUUAAUGGCGCUUACCCAAGCUGCUCGGAUGCAGACCUUGCACCUAUUGUUGCUGAGCGGCAUACUAAUUAAGAAGGAUUCUAUUUCAGUCAUGUUAAGAGGACAUAUCAAACAAUGUAGGCCUGAUUUCAAUGUGAAAACUAUUACUUUCCAUGCAUAUUCUAGGGAUAGUCGGCUUUGUGUCUGUGAUACACUUAAGUUUUAUGUCGCGCAGACUGAAAAACUCCGCAGCUUUGAGAAUGAUGAUGAAAGUCUGCUUAUCAGUUUUAUCAAGCCCCACAAGGGAGUGUCGAAAGACACCUUAGCACGUUGGAUCAGGUCUGUGCUUCACUUAUCUGGCAUAGACACAGUCAAGUACUCAGCUGGUAGUGUUCGGUCUGCUGCGGCAUCAAAAGCUAAAUCCAUGAAUGUCCCCAUUAUGCAUAUCAUGGCAAAGGCUGGCUGGUCACGUGAAGCCACCUUUGCUAAAUAUUAUGACAAAGAAAUUGUCUCGAACCCAGACAUAUUUCAGGAUGCUGUUCUCAUGUAGGUUAACAUGUCUGUACAGACUGUACAAUGCUUUUCUAUGUUUAUUAAAAUUGGUACAUUUC